GGAGGGUGCAAGCGUUAUCCGGAUUCACUGGGUUUAAAGGGUGCGUAGGCGGGCAGGUAAGUCCGUGGUGAAAUCUCUGAGCUUAACUCAGAAACUGCCAUGGAUACUAUUUGUCUUGAAUAUUGUGGAGGUAAGCGGAAUAUGUCAUGUAGCGGUGAAAUGCUUAGAUAUGACAUAGAACACCAAUUGCGAAGGCAGCUUACUACACAGUUAUUGACGCUGAGGCACGAAAGCGUGGGGAUCAAACAGGAUUAGAUACCCUGGUAGUCCACGCCCUAAACGAUGAUUACUCGACAUCAGCGAUACACUGUUGGUGUCUGARMGAAAGCAUUAAGUAAUCCACCUGGGAAGUACGAUCGCAA
rnacentral:rRNA from 1 species